AGGUGUGGGGACAGGAGCUGGGUGUGCUGGGGACUGGCCGCGGACCCCUAACCUGUGUCUCCGGUCUCCCUCCGGGAGCGGCUCAACCCAGCCCAUCGCUCUGGCCCCGUUCUGGCCCUGCAGGGUGGUGGCUGGGACGUUGAAAUGAGCGCGCGAGUGAUUGGCUGGUGGACAGAAGGCACUGCAGCCUGAAAUGGCAGAGUCUGGUGCUGACGAUCCGCGAGAAGAUCAAUGCUGCCAUCCAGGACAUGCCAGAGAGCGAAGAGAUCGCCCAGCUGCUGUCUGGGUCCUGUGAGUGCUUAGGGGCUGUCACUGGAGUCCCCUCUUUGCUGAGACAUUCACUACUUUCACUGCCUAAGAAUCCUGGACCUUCUCAAAGGCACAGAGGCCUCCACGAAGAAUAUUUUUGGCCGAUACUCUUCACAGCGGAUGAAGGAUUGGCAGGAGAUUAUAGCCCUGUAUGAGAAGGACAACACCUACUUAGGUAAAGUGGCCCGGCCUGGGAGCCCUGGUAUCCAUGGGGAAGCCCACUCUCAGAGUUCUGAGAUACCAGGCUUAUAGGAGGCACAGUCUGUGAGUGGGAAGAGACUGGAGUGUAGAUGUUGCCUGUU
rnacentral:sRNA from 1 species